UACGGAGGGUGCAAACGUUAUCCGGAAUCACUGGGCGUAAAGAGCGUGUAGGUGGUUUGGUAAGUCGACGAUUAAAGACCGGUGCUUAACACCGGGAAUGUUGUCGAUACUGCCAGACUUGAGGAAUGCAGGGGCAAGCGGAACUUUGGGUGUAGGGGUGAAAUCCGUAGAUAUCCAAAGGAACACCAAUGGCGAAGGCAGCUUGCUGGGCAUUAUCUGACACUGAGACGCGAAAGCGUGGGGAGCGAACGGG
rnacentral:rRNA from 1 species